rnacentral:rRNA from 1 species
AGAGUUUGAUCCUGGCUCAGAACGAACGCUGGCGGCAGGCUUAACACAUGCAAGUCGAGCGCCCCGCAAGGGGAGCGGCGGACGGGUGAGUAACACGUGGGAACAUGCCCAAAGGUACGGAACAACUCAGGGAAACUUGAGCUAAUACCGUAUGCUCCGGUAACGGCAAAGAUUUAUCGCCUUUGGAUUGGCCCGCGUCC